rnacentral:rRNA from 1 species
AUUGAACGCUGGCGGCAGGCCUAACACAUGCAAGUCGAGCGGUAGCACAGAGAGCUUGCUCUCGGGUGACGAGCGGCGGACGGGUGAGUAAUGUCUGGGAAACUGCCUGAUGGAGGGGGAUAACUACUGGAAACGGUAGCUAAUACCGCAUAACGUCGCAAGACCAAAGAGGGGGACCUUCGGGCCUCUUGCCAUCAGAUGUGCCCAGAUGGGAUUAGCUAGUAGGUGGGGUAACGGCUCACCUAGGCGACGAUCCCUAGCUGGUCUGAGAGGAUGACGAGCCGCACUGGAACUGAGGCACGGCCCAGACUCCUACGGGAGGCAGCAGGGGGUAAUAUUGCACAAUGGGCGCAAGCCUGAUGCAGCCAUGCCGCGUGUAUGAAGAAGGCCUUCGGGUUGUAAAGUACUUUCAGCGGGGAGGAAGGCGAUAAGGUUAAUAACCUUGUCGAUAGACGUUACCCGCAGAAGAAGCACCGGCUAACUCCGUGCCAGCAGCCGCCGUAA